rnacentral:misc_RNA from 1 species
GGAAGGUAUAAAGCUAACACCAAAUUAGAAGGAAGGAAGGGCGGUUGGGAUCUCACCUUUUAGGGUGUCAUUAUAUGAAGGCCACUAAACUGAUUGGCCUUCCUCUUAAGGGCAAAAGACCACCUUGUUUUCCUUUUAUUAGGAAUAAUUCAAGUUGAUGGAAGUUGGUGGGAAUACAGAAAUGGAGGAAAAAUGACAAGAAAAAGAAAGGGUGGGGUAAAGGUUAAAAGUUAAAACAUAAAUGGAUAGGGGUAAACUAAAUGGUAAUACUCCCAACUUGGG